rnacentral:rRNA from 1 species
UACGUAGGGUGCAAGCGUUAUCCGGAAUUAUUGGGCGUAAAGAGCUCGUAGGCGGUUUGUCGCGUCUGCUGUGAAAACCGGGGGCUCAACCUCCGGCCUGCAGUGGGUACGGGCAAACUAGAGUGCGGUAGGGGAGAUUGGAAUUCCUGGUGUAGCGGUGGAAUGCGCAGAUAUCAGGAGGAACACCGAUGGCGAAGGCAGAUCUCUGGGCCGUAACUGACGCUGAGGAGCGAAAGCGUGGGGAGCGAACAGG